ACUAGUGAUUGUGCCAGCAGCCGCRGUAAUACGGAGGGUGCAAGCGCUGUCCUGAUUUAUUGGGUUUAAAGGGUCCGUAGGCGGAUGCGUAAGUCAGUGGUGAAAUCUCACAGCUCAACUGUGAAACUGCCAUUGAUACUGCGUGUCUUGAGUGAGGUUGAAGUAGCUGGAAUAAGUAGUGUAGCGGUGAAAUGCAUAGAUAUUACUUAGAACACCAAUUGCGAAGGCAGGUUACUAAGUCUCAACUGACGCUGAUGGACGAAAGCGUGGGGAGCGAACAGGAUUAGAUACCCUGGUAGUCCACGCUGUAAACGAUGCUAACUCAUUUUUGGGGAUUUAUCUUCAGAGACUAAGCGAAAGUGAUAAGUUAGCCACCUGGGGAGUACGAACGCAAGUUUGAAGCUCAAAGGAAUUGACGGGGGCCCGCACAAGCGGUGGAUUAUGUGGUUUAAUUCGAUGAUACGCGAGGAACCUUACCAAGGCUUAAAUGGGAAUUGAUCGGUUUAGAAAUAGACCUUCCUUCGGGCAAUUUUCAAGGUGCUGCAUGGUUGUCGUCAGCUCGUGCCGUGAGGUGUUAGGUUAAGUCCUGCAACGAGCGCAACCCCUGUCACUAGUUGCCACCAUUCAGUUGGGGGACUCUAGUGAGACUGCCUACGCAGUAGAGAGGAAGUGGGAUGAACGUCAAAACAUCCACGGCCCUUUACGCCCUUUKGGGGACCA
rnacentral:rRNA from 1 species